GGGAAGUGGCUCAGCUGGGAGAGCGUCGCGUUCGCAAUGCGAAGGUCGUGGGUUCGAAUCCCAUCUUCUCC
rnacentral:tRNA from 2 species